AGAGAGAGACAUGCGCGCAUAUCAAUAAGCGGAGGAAAAGAAACUAACAAGGAUUCCCUUAGUAACGGCGAGUGAAGCGGGAAGAGCUCAAAUUUGAAAUCUUCAAGGUUCUACCUUGACGAAUUGUAGUUUAUAGAAGUGUUUUCUGUUAGUGGAGUGGCAAAAGUUCUUUGGAAUAGGACAUCAUAGAGGGUGAGAAUCCCGUAUUUGGUCAUUCCUCCUAGCGUUGUGAUACACUUUCAACGAGUCGGAUUGUUUGGGAAUGCAGUCCAAAAUGGGUGGUAAAUUUCAUCUAAAGCUAAAUAUUGGCGAGAGACCGAUAGCGAACAAGUACCGUGAGGGAAAGAUGAAAAGAACUUUGAAAAGAGAGUUAAACAGUACGUGAAAUUGUCAAAAGGGAAGCGUUUGACACCAGUGUUGUUUUUCCGAAAAUCAAUUACGAAUGUUUUAUUUUUGAGGAGUUAUGACUUCAUCGGCUUGCUCCUUUCUUUAUGAAACUUUCUUAAUGCACUUUUCGGUUAACAAGUCAACAUCAAUUUCUUUUGUUGUAAAAGGGUAUGAGGAAGGUGGCUUUCUUUUCGGAGAAAGUGUUUAUAGCCUUGUGCCUCUGCAAUCGGAGAGAUUGAGGUCUGCAGCGUAGAUCCUUCGGGGUUAGAUACGUUUGUGCUAAGUUAUAGCUUUUCAUAGACAACUUGUUGACUAUGUUUAGUCUUGUAGCUUACUCGCUGACGCUAUUUUACCUACGCUUAGGAUGUUGAUAGUCACAGCGUGUAC
rnacentral:rRNA from 1 species